AUUCAGCUGAUAAGCCCCAAAUGGGACGAAACGCGCUUCCUGGAU
rfam:Schistosoma haematobium scaffold2201_4, whole genome shotgun sequence.